rnacentral:rRNA from 1 species
UACGAGGGGGGGCAAGCGUUAUCCGGAAUGAUUGGGCGUAAAGCGUCUGUAGGUGGCUUUUUAAGUCCGCCGUCAAAUCCCAGGGCUCAACCCCUGGACAGGCGGUGGAAACUACCAAGCUGGAGUACGGUAGGGGCAGGAGGGAAUUUCCGGUGGAGCGGUGAAAUGCGUAGAUCUUGGAAAGACCACCAAUGGCGAAGGCACUCUACUGGGCCAUGACUGACACUAAGAGACGAAAGCUAGGGGAGCAAAUGGG